AUGAUGGUCUGGGAAUUUCCAUCUUCUGUUAUGUUCAUCAUUGAAUUAUUUUGCUUAUCAUCUAAUGCAGUAGCAUUGAAAGUGAUGACGGAGUCAAGUAUGAGUCAAUGUGUAUGGACCUGCUUCAGUGCAUAUGCUAUCAAGUUUUUUUUCAUCCAGGCACAUGAACUUAUGUUGUUAUGGAAAUUUAUGCAAGGUUGGAAUCAAAUCCCAUUCACAUUGUCUUUAAAGUCGACAUUUAUUUAA